rnacentral:rRNA from 1 species
UACAGAGGUCCCAAGCGUUGUUCGGAUUUACUGGGCGUAAAGGGCGCGUAGGCGGUUAUAUGAGUGUGAUGUGAAAGCCCCGGGCUUAACCUGGGAAGUGCAUUGCAAACUGUAUAGCUGGAGUAUAUGAGAGGGUGGCGGAAUUUCCGGUGUAGCGGUGAAAUGCGUAGAGAUCGGAAGGAACGUCAAUGGCGAAGGCAGCCACCUGGCAUAAUACUGACGCUGAGGCGCGAAAGCAUGGGGAGCGAACAGG